rnacentral:snRNA from 1 species
AGUUUUGCACAGUGGAAGUAUCAUAGCCAAAGAGGUUUAUCUGAGGCAGGAUUAUUGAUAAUUGAAAAGAAAGAUCACCUCACACCCAGAUGUAUCAACUAAGGGAAAGCAGAUCCUUUGAGGA